ensembl:ncRNA lncRNA:CR43911 long non-coding RNA:CR43911
ACGUUUGCAAUUAGCAGCGCUUUAUGUGUUGAUGUUGCAGCAGUUGCAUGCUGCUGACAAAUGCAAAGUCAUGUGAUGCCGACUGGCCUGUGUCGUCGUACAAUGACCCACAUUGUGAUGCGCUUUUAUUAGACACGCGAGGCGCAAAAACAAAGGGCCAACAAUGAGUCAGGAGUCCGGAGAUAGGAGUCCGGAGAUAGGAGUCCGGGGAUUGGAGUCCGGACAAUGGCCCAACAAGGAGACUAUGACGACAACAGUGCUGUCCUCAUCACCGCAGAAACAAAUGAAGACAAUGCAAAUGUGGAACACACUAGGACAUUAAACUCGCACUUGGAUAUCUUAACCUAAGCAAGAGCUAAAAUCAAACAAGUUUUAAUCUACUUUUUAUGCCACUAUAUUAUU